rnacentral:rRNA from 1 species
CCAGACUCCUACGGGAGGCAGCAGUGGGGAAUAUUGCACAAUGGGGGAAACCCUGAUGCAGCAACGCCGCGUGAGUGAAGAAGUAUUUCGGUAUGUAAAGCUCUAUCAGCAGGGAAGAAAAUGACGGUACCUGACUAAGAAGCCCCGGCUAACUACGUGCCAGCAGCCGCGGUAAUACGUAGGGGGCAAGCGUUAUCCGGAUUUACUGGGUGUAAAGGGAGCGUAGACGGCAGCACAAGUCUGGAGUGAAAUCCCGGGGCUUAACCCCGGAACUGCUUUGGAAACUGUGCGGCUGGAGUGCAGGAGGGGUAAGCGGAAUUCCUAGUGUAGCGGUGAAAUGCGUAGAUAUUAGGAGGAACACCGGUGGCGAAGGCGGCUUACUGGACCAUAACUGACGUUGAGGCUCGAAAGCGUGGGGAGCGAACAGGAUUAGAUACCCCGGUAA